UGGGGGAUAUUGCACAAUGGGGGAAACCCUGAUGCAGCAACGCCGCGUGAGCGAUGAAGGCCUUCGGGUUGUAAAGCUCUGUCUUCGCUGACGAUAAUGACGGUAAGCGAGGAGGAAGCCACGGCUAACUACGUGCCAGCAGCCGCGGUAAUACGUAGGUGGCGAGCGUUGUCCGGAAUUACUGGGCGUAAAGGGUGCGUAGGCGGGUUUUUAAGUCAGAUGUGAAACCCCCGGGCUUAACCUGGGGAUUGCAUUUGAAACUGGGGACCUAGAGUGCAGGAGAGGGAAGCGGAAUUCCUAGUGUAGCGGUGAAAUGCGUAGAUAUUAGGAAGAACACCAGUGGCGAAGGCGGCUUUCUGGACUGUAACUGACGCUGAGGCACGAAAGCGUGGGGAGCAAACAGG
rnacentral:rRNA from 2 species